ACAUUUGGCUGGCAGGAAGAUACCAUGAGUCCCAGGGAAAGCCUUAUCCACUGCACACCGGAUGUGCUGACCCCUGUGGUUUCCCCAAAUGUAGGAAACUCGACUGCAUAAUUUGUGGUGGCCGGGCAGUGCGUUUGUGCUUUCCCUUA
rnacentral:snRNA from 1 species